CCGUUUAUUUCUUCUAACGAACAAUGCCAAAGUUGAAGGCUACUUUUACAAUAUCGUAUAUUAAAUCGUAUUUUUGACUAUCCAGUUGAGCUAACAUUUAAAGUUAUAAAUGUACACUUUUUAUUUACCACGCCUCGGAUCACUUGUAAAAGAUAAUUACUUAUUCAUUCAAUGUUGGCAUUCUUUUCUUAAAUGAUUUCUUUACACUACGAGAAUAGCAUUGAAGUGCAUAUAAGUGUAAAUAAUUGAAGGACUUUAUAUAUAUAAGUAUAUAGAUGAGAUAAUUUGAAGUGGACUUGCAUUUUUUAUGGGAAAUUCAGAAUCUGAACAGGAACGAUAUACUGAAGAAGAGGAAGUAAGGGAGACAAGAAAGAGACCAACAGGGAAACCGAGAUCAACUCAUGAGCCACUAAUUGAAGAACACGAGGACCGCCGUGGUUCUCCCUCCGAAGAGCAAAGAAAACAAGGAGGGCCUGUGAUUGAGGAUGUAACCGGACCAACGCGUUCAGAAACAAGAAAUGUUGACAAAGCAUCAAAUGUUUCGAAAAAACCACUUCCUCCGAAUACAAGACUAUUUGAUGGACGACAAGCAAAUGUUAAUACGCAGAACGUAGGAACAAGCUCGAUAAGCAGACAUGGUCCAAGUGAAGAUGAUUAUCAAACAAACAAACAAUAUCCUACCUCAGAAACACGUUCAUGGCAUUACAAUUCAUGGAGGGAUUCAGGUCAGAAACCGGAGGAGAAAGGGGGCAAUGUUAGAGAAUAUAGGUAUCGUCCAUCGUCGCAUAAAAUGAAUUCACAAAAGACUGUUUUAACAAGACCUGAUAAGAACAACAGUUCAAGGGAGAAACCAACAGAAAGACCAAGAAGAUAUGUAUUGGUUAAAAAAAACACGGAAGACCAUUUUGACAAUUCUAUUCCUAUAAAAUACAAAACGGACGAGGGAUCAAAAUCAGACAGUAAAAAAACGAAAACGAAACCUAAUAAUGAAAAGACACAAUCAGUUGUAGAAACGACCAACAAUAGCACCGAUAGUUCUAGUGAAAUGAUAAAGGGAGUACAAAUGUGGAUGCCAUGAAUAGACGAAGUAAGACCUUUGUUGCACUUUCAGGUUUUUUCUUUUUAUGUAAACAUAGAUACUUUAUAUAUAUUUUUUUCAAUUUCAUUAUAAAAACAGCUUUAUGACUGUUAUGAAAUCACUAA